rnacentral:rRNA from 1 species
UUAAAUUGAAGAGUUUGAUCAUGGCUCAGAUUGAACGCUGGCGGCAGGCCUAACACAUGCAAGUCGAACGGUAACAGGAAUCAGCUUGCUGAUUUGCUGACGAGUGGCGGACGGGUGAGUAAUGUCUGGGAAACUGCCUGAUGGAGGGGGAUAACUACUGGAAACGGUAGCUAAUACCGCAUAAUGUCGCAAGACCAAAGAGGGGGACCUUCGGGCCUCUUGCCAUCGGAUGUGCCCAGAUGGGAUUAGCUAGUAGGUGGGGUAACGGCUCACCUAGGCGACGAUCCCUAGCUGGUCUGAGAGGAUGACCAGCCACACUGGAACUGAGACACGGUCCAGACUCCUACGGGAGGCAGCAGUGGGGAAUAUUGCACAAUGGGCGCAAGCCUGAUGCAGCCAUG